CCCUUAGAUGUUCUGGGCCGCACGCGCGCUACACUGACGGAGGCAGCGAGCAUGUCCUUCGCCGAGAGGUGUGGGGAAUCUUGUGAGUCUCCGUCGUGCUGGGGAUAGAUGGUUGCAAUUGUCGAUCUUGAACGAGGAAUUCCUAGUAAGCGCGAGUCAUCAGCUCGCGCUGAUUACGUCCCUGCCCUUUGUACACACCGCCCGUCGCUACUACCGAUUGAGUGAUCCGGUGAAUAAUUCGGACUGCGGCAUUGACCGGUUCCCGAUCGUUGCUGCGGAAAGUUUAGUGAACCUUAUCACUUAGAGGAAGGAGAAGUCGUAACA
rnacentral:rRNA from 1 species